rnacentral:rRNA from 1 species
GAAUACAAUGAUACCAACACUAAUGCACCAGAUCUCAUCAAAACUCUGCAGUUAAGCGUGCUUGGACGAGAGUAGUACUAAGAUGGAUGAUCUCUUGGGAAGUCCUUGUGUUGCACUCU